rnacentral:rRNA from 1 species
UUAGAUACCCUAUUAUUGAAAAUGCAAAGUAUUAUGCUUGAGUAGUAUUAGUUAUGUUCUUGAAAUUUAAAGAAUCUGGCGGUAUUUUAGUCUAUUCAGAGGAACCUGUCCUGUAAUUGAUAGUCCACGAUUAAUUGUACUUAUUUUUAGUUUGUAUAUCGUCGUAGUUUGAAUGUUUUUAGAGAAAAUUAAAUAUUCAAGAUUUAGAAUUUUAAAGAAAAUCAGAUCAAGAUACAGCGUAUAAAUAAGAAGAGAUGGGUUACAAUAAAUUUAUUUUUGGUUAUAAUAAUUAAAAUUAUUUUAUAAAUUGGAUUUGAUAGUAAUAUAAUUUAGUUAAAUUAUAUGAUUUUAGCUCUAAAAUAUGUACAUAUCGCCCGUCGCUCCUCCUAUAAAGAAGGAUAAGUC